rnacentral:tRNA from 1 species
GGGUGUGUAGUUUAAGUAGAACGUCGGUUUUGUAACCCGAAAGUGAGUACGAAUUUCCGCGCCCU